GUUCACCUGCAUUCGUUAAGGAAUCAUUUUUAUUUCAGUUAUUCUCCUUCUGAAAUCAAUAGCAGCAGCCACCAAACACCAAACAAUUACAAGGUUAAGCGCAAGAGUAAGAGCUAGUCAAUGAGUUACUGAACUGUAGCAAAGCUUCACUAUCAGGUUGAGUAGCUGCCGAUGGUGAUGAAGUGACGAACGGGACUCUUUUGUCUUAUUAUGUAUUAAUGAACUCUAGGGAUACAUGUCUUCAUACAUGUAAUCAGAACCUUAUUCCGCUGCGUACUCAGAAGUUUUAUGUUAUUUUGGCUAAGUCGGAGUUAUCCGAACUUACUAGUUAUUUGAGUCUAUACGACUAAACCUCCGUUAUAUUAUAAAUAUCCCUUUUGUUAAAAAUGAUGAAAUGCGAUUCUUC